rnacentral:rRNA from 1 species
AGUGAACGCUGGCGGUAGGCCUAACACAUGCAAGUCGAACGGCAGCACAGUAAGAGCUUGCUCUUACGGGUGGCGAGUGGCGGACGGGUGAGGAAUACAUCGGAAUCUACUUUUUCGUGGGGGAUAACGUAGGGAAACUUACGCUAAUACCGCAUACGACCUACGGGUGAAAGCAGGGGAUCUUCGGACCUUGCGCGAUUGAAUGAGCCGAUGUCGGAUUAGCUAGUUGGCGGGGUAAAGGCCCACCAAGGCGACGAUCCGUAGCUGGUCUGAGAGGAUGAUCAGCCACAAUGGAACUGAGACACGGUCCAGACUCCUACGGGAGGCAGCAGUGGGGAAUAUUGGACAAUGGGCGCAAGCCUGGUCCAGCCAUACCGCGUGGGUGAAGAAGGCCUUCGGGUUGUAAAGCCCUUUUGUUGGGAAAGAAAAGCGGCAGGUUAAAACCCCGCUGUUCUGACGGUACCCAAAGAAUAAGCACCGGCUAACUUCGUG